ACAUACGACCAUAGGAUACUGGAUGCUAGGCUUCCCGUCCGCUCAGCCAUAUAUAAGCAGUAUACCGGCGGAUUAGUAGUCAGGUGGGUGACCACUGGCGAAUCCCCGCUGUUGUAUGUU
rnacentral:rRNA from 1 species